AAACGCUGGCGGCGUGCUAAUACAUGCAGUCGAACGAGAUCCCGGAGCUUGCUCCGGGGGACAGUGGCGAACGGGUGAGUACACGUGAGAAACCUACCCUAGAGACGGGGACAACAUUUGGAAACGAAUGCUAAUACCGGAUAGUAUACGACAUCGCAUGAUGAUGUAUUUAAAGGUGCGUUUGCACCACUCUAGGAGGGUCCUGCUUCGUAUUAGAUAGUUGGUGAGGUAGUGGCUCACCAAGUCAACGAUGCGUAGCCGAGCUGAGAGGCUGAUCGGCCACACUGGGACUGAGACACGGCCCAGACUCCUACGGGAGGCAGCAGUUAGGAAUAUUCGGCAAUGGGGGCAACCCUGACCGAGCAAUGCCGCGUGAACGAAGAAGUAUUUCGAUAUGUAAAGUUCUGUUGUUGAGGAAGAACUGUAGUGAUAGGAAAUGAUCAUUAUUUGACGGUACUCAACCAGAAAGGUCCGGCUAACUACGUGCCAGCAGCCGCGGUAAUACGUAGGGACCAAGCGUUAUCCGGAAUUAUUGGGCGUAAAGCGUGCGUAGGCGGUUUACUAAGUCAAAUCUGAAAGCCCACAGCUUAACUGUGGAGGGUGA
rnacentral:rRNA from 1 species